CCCGGCCGCCCCCCGCGCCGGCGGAGCAGGCCGCGGGGAGCGCGGACGCCCGGCCCUGCCGGGACAGGAAGUGGGCCGAGUUUCCCACUCCUCGGGCCCGCGCCUUCCUCCGCGGAAGGGAAGCGCCGGGGAGGCCGCGGGCCGGCCGGGGGCUGCGCCUGGCAGCCGGGUUUUCCCGGGCUUGCGGACUGUGGCCUCAGCGCCCCGCACGGAUAAUAAACGAAUGGACGGUUAACCAAGUAUUUACUGCGAACUGGCAGUGGGCUUGGCACGGUUCACAAGAUUGGGCGUCUGCAGCUAAUUAUCAGAAAGAGACCCUGCCCUUGGGAGCUUGUGUUCUGAAGGAGGAGUGGAUGAAUGGGUGCAGUUUUGCUCUUUUAACUUUUGAGAUCCUGGUGCUACUUACUACAAAUUAGUUUUACAGAUCUUACCCGAAGUCUACCUUCAAUACAAAAUGACCUGAAGAAGUAGAAAAACAAAACACUGAUAAUGAAAAAGAAGAAAAGAAAUUUCUCAUUCAAAGAUUUAUUUAAUAUUAAGUUUUAAAAAUACUCCUGGAAAGGACAGAAAGUGCUUUUAAUAAAUUACUUAUAUUGGCAAAUAUUGGAUUUGUUCCCACCAGUAAUGAAGGAAUCUAAUGACUUUCUGGAUGUGCGCAAAUAUAAAAUGAACAAAGAACUACUUAAUUCCAAUUUUCUUUUUUAUUACGUCCCCAGUUAUUUCACUUAUCAGUAAAUCUGAUUUCUUCAAGAUGACACUGUGAAGCGUGAGAGACAGUUCCUGGAUAAAUUUCGGCAUCUUAAGUUUUUUACCCUUCAGGAUUUAGCGUGCAGUCUUUGGUCUUUAAUUGCUUUACCUGACUUAAGGAAAAGCAACAGCUCUAUUGGACUAAAUCUCAUUUAACUUCCAGAGUGGGGUUUCUUAAAGUUGGACCUUUGUCUUUCAGGAAAUAGAAAGAUCAAGAACUCUGGAACAUGUCGAUUUUCCAUCUGUGAAAAGGUGUUCAGGUUUUCAAACUGCAGCCAUAUCUAUGUGAUUGAACCCUAUGAUACUGGUGUCUUAUACAUCAAAAGUAGAAUAUCAGCAUUUGAGACGGCUCAGCUUAAUAGUUCUCUCGUGAAGUUUCCCCAUGACCACUUGUAGAGGAUAUUGUGGUGAGAAUUUCUUGCAAAAGGAGGGAUGUUGUCAACUUCCAUGGAGGAAGUACUAGAUACCUACUUCAGCCAUCUCUUAAGUCCUGGUUUCAAACCCUCUCAACCGCAAAUGGAUCUUCCCAACCCCUCUGAUCCAAUCAGUCAUGGAGUCCUAUGAAUUCUUACCUCAGAAUAUCUCCCACCAACUCCCACCUCCACCUGACCCACACUACCCAUGGAUACCCUGCCUCCGAUACCUCCCGCUUUAACAUGUCAUUCCAUUAGAACUAUCUAUUGAGCGACUAUUCAGUGCUGGGUGCCAUGCCAGUUACUAGAGAAAGAAAGAUGGUUUUAAAAUAUGUCUUCAAAUUUUUUUGAUACUCCCCCCUUCAAGAGGUGACAAGACAAUUCCCUCUGUCUCCCUUGAGUAUGCCUUGGACUUCCUACUCAGUUCCAACAAAACAGAAUAUGGCAUCAGUGAUGGUUUGUGACUUCUAAGACUAGAUGAUAACAUGCAUUUUAGUUUUCUCUUCUCUCUUUUCUUGGAUCACUUUCCCUGAGAGAAGUUAGCUACAGUUGCGAGGAUUCUCAAAUAGCUUUAUGGACAGGUCCACGUGACACAGAACCAGGACUUCCUACCAACAACCGGCACUAACUUGCCAGGCAUGUGAGUGAGCCAUCUUGGAAGCAGAUCCUCCAGCCCCUGUCAAGCCUUCAGAUGACUACAGCCCUGGCUGACCUCUGGACUGCAACCUCAAGAGAGAGACCCUGAGCCAGAACCUGGCAGAUAAGCAUCUCCCAAAUUCCUGACACACAACAAGAAUUGCCCUCCAAGUCCUUGAUCCCAGCUCCCCAAGAAGGGGCCUCACAAUCCGUGCACCCUGCCUGUGCCUCCUGGGGCCCCGUGGUGGAUGAUCGAAGGUUAAUUGAAUCGCUUUGGAGACUGAACUUGAAACCUCCUGUACUGUUGAUAUUCACUGGCCUUUUCCCUGGUGCUAGGAAUCAGAAUGGAAACUUUACUACCGGAUAUUGAACAUACAGGUACACUCCUCAGGGGCCCAUCAGAGUUUGGAGACAGGUGCAUCAGCGGUGGCCUAGGUGGUCUUCCCUUCAUUCCAAAGCGCCUUCCUCCAGUGACUCACCAGCAGCAUGGAGGACCGAACUGCUCCCUAGGUAAAGCAGAUCUCUGGCUGAGCAAAGUGAUACACAACUAGUGACAUUUCCCGGCAGUAGAUUCAGACACGCCUAAAGCCCCUGUCAUAAUGAAUGCCUCCCUGACCUCCUUGCUAAUGGAAGCGGGCUCUGCAGCAUACAUACUAAGUUGGGACAACCGGACAACUGGAUGUGGGGCUUGGCACCCCUUUGCCUUGGCAAGAAUCCGUCCUGAUAGUGUGCCAUAUCUUACCACUGUCCUACACCAAGCACCAUAAUUUAUUACGGAAAGAAGCCUGUCCUAGAGAAAAGCAGCUGGGAAGACCUUCGGACUUCUGGGGUGUGCGAGCAUCAGCAGAGAGCAGUCCCUGAAAACAACCAACCGGAGGAUUCUACUAAGAGCAGCACGGUAUCUAUUUCCUGUCUGCUAUGGCCACUUACUCAGACGACAGUGCAAGUAGAGACUGCAUGCUCAUAGCCCUGGAUGACCAUGGAAGGAGGGGGUCAGUCUUCUGUCCUUUGGACAGUCCCCCCUGGCUUUAUGACUGUGGGUGACUCAUUCAGGAGUCUGGCAACUUUCUUCCUGCCAUUAAAGGAAAAGAUACACCAAAAAGUGUGGAUUCCUGGAUUCACCUUUUCCAUAAACUGUGUCCUCUUCCUGUCUCCCUGAUUUCUAGGAAUAGGACCAGUUGCUACUUGACACCUUUCCAGAGGCAACCAGUCAAGUCUUACCAAGUCCUUCUUCCCAAAGCCUAUGCAUCUGUCCUUUUUUAUAUACAUCAUUCAUCCACUUAGUCUAGUACCGAGGAUCAGUGAAAUAAUGGAUUGGAUAUCUUCUGUGAGGCAGUGCUAUUAUAAGAGAUGGUGCACAGUUUCUGCACUCGAAGAGCUUAUUGUUUAGUCAAGACUAGAGGCAAUGAACUGACCAUGGCAAUGACAGGAGUGCGCUGGACAUAGUGAAGCACUGGAUGUGGUGGGAGCCCACAGAACCGCACCUGCUCCAGCCUUGGAGAAGCCAAGGAAUGUUCCUCGGAGAAGCCAAGGAAUGUUCCUCAGAGAAAAUGACAGACAUCUAAAACGAGACACAAAGAACCAGUAAAAGUUAAGCAAAGAAAACCUGAUUUCAAAAAGCAAGGAAGGAAAAGCAAAGGAUUCAUUGUUGUUUCAGUUAUUUCAAGGAUGAAGUAAACGCCUCUCCAAGGUCGACUGCGAUUUCCAUACAAUUUACACUGGAGACUUAAGUGAUGGAAACAACAAUGCACAGAAUAGAUCGAAAGUCAAAUGGAUACUUCUGUGAAGAAUCUUAUGACACACACCUUGUUUUAUAGAUAAUUGAUAGAGGUUCAUCCUUGCAGUGUUUUAUCAAAAGGAAAAGACCAUGGAAGCUGCAUAAAAUCUGUGCUAUUCCUUCAGUGGGAAAAAAGGGAGAAAUAAAAGAAGCUCGAGCCUCUAUACUGACUCAUUUUCAUCUUCUUUCCAGAGUUCCCAGGAGCAGUCAAAAUCCCCCAAUCUGGAAGCUUCUGGAGGGAACCUGAAGUCCUCCUGACACCCACAGAACGUACACUAUGUGCAUAAGCAAAUACUGGCCUGCUCUUUAGUAGUUUUAAAGUUCUUUACCAAAGAGAAAGAUUUGAGACCAGAAGCUGCAUUCCCGGUGGACCCUUAAAUAACUUCUUGCUUUAUUUUUUCUGGAAGUUGGAGGGAAAAAUAAGUAUGCCAAGAUCUGUGUAACAGAGUCCAUAUGGAUGGAGCAGGAAGAUAUUAGAAUUUUAAUUUAUAUUUUCAUCUCUUUUUAAAAUUUCUGUUCUCUAUGUAUUUUAAAAUAAAUAUUCACGUGUGUGUGUAUGUGUAUUCAUGAUCACAUUUUUAAGUGGUGGAGGUACAUGCAAAAAAAAAAUUAGAGACAGUCAGUUUAGACCAGAGGACUCAGUCUCAAUUAACUGCAAAGCAUAUUAUAAUUAAUGUUUUACUGAUAAUAGUGAAAUAUUAUAUCAGUUUGGGAUUUUAAAAAAUCAGACCAGAUUUAAGAUUAUCACUCUCUCAGUAAGCUUAAAUUUUUUUUAUUUUAUUUUAAAGACUUUAUUUUUUUUUAGAACAAGUUUGGGUUCACAGCCAAGUUGAGGAAGGUACAGAGAUUUUCCAUAUACCCUUUGCUCCAUGUAUGCACAGCCUCCCCCAUUCUCAACAUCUCCCACCAGAGAUACAUUCGUUAUUAUUGAUGAACCUACAUUGAUUAGCACACCAUAACCACCCAAAGUCCAUAGUUUAGGGUUCGCUCUUGAUGUUGUAAAUUCUAUGGGUUUGGACAAAUAUGUAACAGGUAUCCAUCAUUAUAGCAUCAUACAGUGUAUUUUCACUGCCCUAAAAAUCCUUCUGUGCUUUGCCUAUUCAUUUGUCCUUCUACCUUCCAACCCCUGGCAAUCACUGAUCUUUUUACCAUGUCCAGAGUUUUGCUUUUUCCAGAAUGUCAUAUAAUGGGAAUCAUAGUAUUUAGCUUUUUCAGAUCAGCUUCUUUUACUUAGCAAUAUGCAUUUAAGCUUCCCAUGUCUUCUCAUAGCUUGAUACCUCAUUUCUUUUUAAUGCUGAUUAAUAUUCCAUCCAACAUUAAAAAGAAAUGUCUGUAUGUACCGCAAUGUAUUAAUCCAUUCAUCUAUGUUUUGGUUGCUUCCAAGUUUUGACAGUUAUGAAGUGAGCUGCUUUUAAAACCAUUCAUGUGCAGGUUUUUAUUGGACCUAAAUUUUCAACUCCUUUGGGCCAGUACCAAGGAGCUUGAGUGCUGGACCAUAUGGUAAGAAUAUAUUUAGUUUUUUAAGAAACUGCAAACUCUCUUCUAAAGUGGCUGUACCUUUUGCAUUCCCCCUUGCAAUGAAUGACACAGUUCCUGUUCUGUAUCUUUACCAGGGUAUGGUGGUGUCAGUGUUCCAGAUUCUGGCCAUUCCCAUAGAUGUGGAGUGAUAUUUCACUGUUGUUUUAAUUUGCAUUUCCCUAAUGACAUAUUAUUAUAUGGAGUAUCUCUUCAUAUGCUUAUUUGCCAUCUGUUUAUCUUCUUUGGUGGGGUGUCUGUUAAGAUCUUUGGCCCAUUAUUUAAUCAGGUUGUUUCCAUAUUAUUAAAGCAUUUUAAGAGUUCUUUGUAUAUUUGAAUAACAGUACUUUAUGAGAUGUGUUUUUUGUGAAAAACCACUGAAUUAUAUACUUCGAGAAGUGAAUUUUAUGGUGUGUGAAUUAUCUCACUUUUAAGAUCUAUGAAAAAAUAUUGAUGACUAGUCUCUAUUCAUAUCAAUCAAACUCAAAUAUCUGAGGAAAGGUCUGGGCAUUUGAAUCUUUGAAGGCUCCCUGGUGAUUUUGAAGCACCACAGGAUUAGAAUUUGUUGCAUUAAAUAAACCAUCAAUCUUUUUUAUUGUGAAUUUAUUGGCAGAGAUUAAGAAGGUUUUGACCUUCCAUUGCUCUGAUGGUUAAUUUUGAUAGGGCGUAUGUAGGAAAAGGCCUAGAGUAAUUAUAGCUAAAUUCACCCAUGCCAGAAUUCACGAGUGCUAUCAACAACAAAAAAUUAUUUCAUUAUAUUAUAAUGUGUUUUUUAAAAAAACAGUUUUCCCCAGAGCUAAUCAGUUAUCAUCUCCUCACGUAUUCUCUGCAUGGUAAUAUCACUGAAGAGCCUUCAAAGGAUGUAACAUUACUUUUGAUUAUGGUGUCAGUGUAACAAUCUGCACUGUCAGGUUUUUGUUGUCUUGUUUUGCUUCCAGUCUACUCCUUAUUCAAAGUCCACAUGGGGAUAGCCAUGGUAACUCCAAGUUUUGAGGACUUCUCCCUUUGGACAAUCCCGGAAGUGGGAUGCAGCCUUCAGAUCCUGGGUGGUCCAAAGUUGUGGGGUGGGGUGCUUGAAGUGAGCCUCAGUUAAACUAUUUCACCCACCUAAGUGAAGACAAGAACCGCAACUGCUCAGUGGUUUUUAAUUCUACUUUGUCAUUUGUUAUAUUCCUACUUAAUUCCAAAGAGGAAGUUGGAGAAAUUUGAUUGUUUGUCUAAUAAAGUAGAUGUAGGCCCAGAGCAGGCCUU